UACGUAGGGGGCAAGCGUUGUCCGGAAUCAUUGGGCGUAAAGCGCGUGUAGGCGGCCCGGUAAGUCCGCUGUGAAAGUCCAGGGCUCAACCCUGGAAUGCCGGUGGAUACUGUCGGGCUAGAGUCCGGAAGAGGCGAGUGGAAUUCCUGGUGUAGCGGUGAAAUGCGCAGAUAUCAGGAGGAACACCAAUGGCGAAGGCAGCUCGCUGGGACGGUACUGACGCUGAGGCGCGAAAGCGUGGGGAGCAAACAGG
rnacentral:rRNA from 1 species